AUCUCAGUAUUCGAGUCCAAUACUUCGGUCAUAUAUGCUAUUCUGAAUAUGUUGUAAAAUAAACUUCUGAGAGCU
rnacentral:snoRNA from 1 species